rnacentral:rRNA from 1 species
UACGUAGGGUGCAAGCGUUGCUCGGAAUUAUUGGGCGUAAAGGGUAGGUAGGUGGUCUUAUUUGUCUGGGGUGAAAGCCUUGAGCUUAACUCAAGAAGUGCCCCAGAAACGGUAAGACUAGAGUCCUGGAGAGGGUCGUGGAAUUCCCGGUGUAGCGGUGAAAUGCGUAGAGAUCGGGAGGAACACCAGAGGCGAAGGCGGCGACCUGGACAGGUACUGACACUCAACUACGAAAGCGUGGGUAGCAAACAGG